rnacentral:rRNA from 1 species
UACGUAGGGUGCAAGCGUUGUCCGGAAUUAUUGGGCGUAAAGAGCUCGUAGGCGGUCUGUCGCGUCGGCUGUGAAAACUCGGGGCUCAACCCCGAGCCUGCAGUCGAUACGGGCAGACUAGAGUGUGGUAGGGGAGACUGGAAUUCCUGGUGUAGCGGUGAAAUGCGCAGAUAUCAGGAGGAACACCGGCGGCGAAGGCGGGUCUCUGGGCCAUAACUGACGCUGAGGAGCGAAAGCGUGGGGAGCGAACAGG